UUCCAGUUUGAAGAGCUAGCAGGGAACACUAGACUGGAUAAAUGGCAAGUACAUAGUACUCUGCUUCUUUAUGAUGAUAAUUUCCUUUGUCCAAUACCCCAUGAGCACAGCCCUCACUUUCCUCCACUCUCUCUCCUCCUCCCCUUUCCACCACCGUCACCGCCCCCGCCUCUUAUCCACCUCAUCACCCUUUUCCCUUCCCCUAAAACCCCUUUCAUUUUCUCCCUUAUCCACUUUACCCCAACAAGUUCUGUUUUCAUCCCAUGAAAUCCAAGGCAAUAACAAUUUGGACAUUUCUUCAUCUGGGUUUCCUGAAAGUUUCAAUUUUGACGAGUCUUUUGAUUCUACUGAGCUGAAAAAGUUCGAAACACCGGCCGUUGAAGUUAGUGAACUAGAGGACAUUCCUGAUCAAUGGCGUAGGUCAAGAUUAGCUUGGCUUUGUAAGGAACUUCCUGCACAUAAAACACCUACUAUGGUUCGGAUUCUUAAUGCACAGAGGAAAUGGCUUAAACAAGAAGAUGCUACUUACAUUGCUGUUCAUUGUAUGCGUAUUCGUGAAAAUGAAGCUGCUUUUCGGGUUUACAAAUGGAUGAUGCAGCAACAUUGGUUUCGAUUUGAUUUUGCUCUAGCUACAAAGCUAGCAGAUUACUUGGGUAAGGAACGAAAGCACUUGAAGUGCCGGGAGAUUUUUGAUGACAUUAUUAACCAGGGACGAGUGCCGUCUGAAUCUACAUUCCAUAUUCUCAUCAUUGCCUAUCUUAGUUCACCUGGCCCAUCAGAGUUAGAUGAAGCGUGUAACAUCUACAAUCGCAUGGUGCACUUGGGAGGUCAUAAGCCUCGGCUUAACUUACACAAUUCUCUGUUUAAAGCUCUUUUGGGGAAGAAACCAGGCUCCAGUAAACACUUCCUGAAACAGGCAGAAUUUAUAUAUCAGAAUUUAACUUCCUCGGGAUUGGAUAUACACAAAGAUAUUUUUGGCGGUCUUAUAUGGCUUCACAGUUAUCAGGAUGUGGUGGAUAUGGAAAGAAUUGCUGUGCUAAGAGCAGAGAUGCGAUCAAGAGGAAUUCAAGAGAGCAAAGAGGUACUCCUGUCAGUCUUAAGAGCUUGCUCAAAGGAUGGGGACCUGGAGGAAGCCGAACGAACUUGGUCAAAACUCCUCUCCGAUGAUCGUAGUCCUCCUUCACAAGCUUUUGUAUAUAAAAUGGAAGUCUAUGCAAAGAACGGAGAGCCUAUGAAAUCUUUGGAAGUAUUUAGGAGGAUGCAGAAACAACUGAGUUCCACCUCCGUUGCAGCAUACUAUAAGAUAAUAAAGGUGUUGUCUAAAUCUCAAAGACUAGAUCUUGCAGAGUCUAUCAUGUCCGAGUUCAUAAACAGUGGUAUGAAGCCGCUGAUUCCAUCAUUCAUCGAUUUGAUGGGAAUGUAUUCCAUUGCAGGCUUACAUGAGAAAAUGGAGACUACCUUUCUCCGUUGCCGUGAAGUCUGCGGUCCAAACCAGACGGUUUUUAAUAUUUAUUUGGAUUCCUUGGUGCAUACUGGCAAUCUGAACCGGGCUGAAGAAAUCUUCAAUGAAAUGCGUGGUGAUGUUGCAAUUAGUCUUGAUUCUCGUUCUUGCAACAGUAUUUUGAGAGGCUAUCUGACCUCUGGAGAGUAUGCAAAGGCAGAAAAGAUAUAUGGUUUGAUGCGCCAAAAGAAAUACGACAUUGAGAUUGAAUCUUCAUUGAUGGAAAAACUUGACUAUGUUCUAAGCUUGCGGGAGAAAGUAGUUGAAGAACCUAUUAAGCUGAAGCUCACAAAAGAACAGCGAGAGGUUUUGAUGGGGUUGCUUCUUGGGGGUUUGCAAAUUAGAUCAUAUGGAGAGAGGAGGAGGAGAGUACAUGCAAUCCAUUUUGAGUUCAAUGCAGAGUCGAGGAUCCACGCCAUUUUAAAGGGACACAUACACAAUGAAUUUCAUCAGUGGUUAGGCUCUCACGAUAUGAUGGUGGAUGGCACUGAUGAUAUUCCUAGUUCCUUUACUACCAUCUCACAUUCUUGUUUUACUUUCUAUGCUGAUCAAUUCUGGCCCAAUGGACGUCCUGGUAUACCAAAACUUAUACAUAGAUGGCUGUCACCUUGUGUUCUUGCUUAUUGGUAUAUGUAUGGCGGUUACAGGACAUCUUCUGGCGAUAUUCUAUUGAGAGUAAAGGGAAGUCGAGAGGAAGUUUUGAAUAUUGUUAAAGCGCUGAAAGACAAAUCAUUAGACUGCCGAGUAAAAAAGAGGGGGACGGUCUUUUGGAUUGGUUUUCUGGGGGACAAUGCUACAUGGUUCUGGACAGUGGUAAAGCCCUUUAUUCUUGGUGAAUUAAAGGAUCUCCUUAAAGCAGGUGGCUGCUCAAAUGGAUCCCUAGAAAACCAAAGAAUCAAUUUUUACAGUGGUUCGGGGUCUGACGAGAAGAAUUCAGAUUACAGCGAUGCUGACACGUCAUAGGGCCUCUUCUGAUUGAUGUACUGUUCUCUAUGCCUUUAUUGCAAGGUUUAAUAGGUUAUUUGAGGUUAAAAGUGUUGCUGCAGAAUUCUGGCUGAUAAGGUGCUCUAGUGGCUUCUUUUGAUAGAAUGACUGUCUCGGCAGAGAAUUUACCGAGUCAAUCAAAAUGGUGCAAAGUUCUUGCUAGCUAGUCUAGUAACCUGAUUCUCCAGUGAGGAAAAGAAGGUGACAAGAAUAAGGCAGUGAAGAAGUUAUCUGUCCUGAACUUAAUAGGCCGCUAUUUGACAAAUCAUCGAUGUCUCUUUCCACUCAUUCACUGCCACUGUGACUUGCUUUAAUGUGCCCAAAAUAAUUACUUCAUUGUUUUUCCACAUGUUUCUAAGCCUUCUCUACAGUUUGAUUAGUCAGAUUUAGAUAAGCCGCAGCUGUAAGAGAAACGACGCCAGAGAGGGUGGAUAUGAUUGCAUCAUCAAGUACCCUGGUAAAAGUUGAAAAUAGAUCGUCUCAUCUGAUGUUAUCAACAAAAUACAAGAUAUGAGCCACAGCUAGCACGAUUGGCUGGAAGUAAACCUUGUAGAAAAGUGAAUUGGAACAGAAGCCUAUAGACUCAAGCGACCAGGUCGGUGAAAACUAACCCCAGAUUCCAUGUGAGUUAUUAUCCACAUCAUAUACAUUUGACGAAUUGCACCAGAAUGCUAAAUUACAUAAGCAUUUAUAUUUUGGAAGAUGGACAGAUGAAACAUGUCUGGUUUCUUUAUUUCUGAAUUGCUUUAAAACACAUGCUGAAAUUCUUCUCCAUAUAAUAUUCUUCAACACUUGCAGCUACUAAGAAGUUCUGUUUUGAUUGAUAGCAUCGCCCGUUUUAUCCCAAAAAUGUUCAAGAAAAGGCUCCAAAGCUGUCCAGUAUCUGUAACAGUGCCUCCUUAUCAUAAUUAGAAUGAUUUUCAUUUGCUAAUAAUCUGAAGAGAUAAAUCUGGAAAAACGUUGUUGGGAAGUUGCUGAACUGGGUCGAUGAUCUUUCUAAUUAAAUCAUAGAUUAGAUUGCUAAAUGCUCAUUGUGGGUGGGGGUUUUGUUUAAUGUGGUUAUGGCAUGAGAAAAUUACUUGCUGAACCAUGCCCGUAUAUUUCUCCUGUAAAGUUGAUUAAUGUUUUAUAUCGAAUUACCUAGUAACUACUUAUAAUGGUAUCAAAUUCAAUUUUAAUUCAAACUUCAUAAUUGCCAUAAUAUAAACAAAAGCUUAUAAGGAAUGAUCAAGUUACAUUCAUAAUUUAUACACUGUAAAAGAAAAUUUCCAUAAGGAAAUGGGGGUGAAGUGAAAUGUACUAAAAGAAAGUUAAAUGAAUUUAAGUUUAUUUAUGAUACAACUCACAAAUGGUAUCCUUUUCAAUCUUAAAACUAAAAGGUGUGGUAAUUCAAAAUGUUAUAGGCGAUGUUGGCUUAUUGAAGAAUGAAUGACAAAUAGUUUAUUUUGCUUUUGAGGUCAAAUGAGUUAUAUAUAUCCUAAUCCUAUCAAAUAGACAAAUUAGGACUAAAAAUAAUUCAGAAGUGCACUAAAUAAACGAGGUCAAGUUCUGUCUGGGUCCCGUGAUAUUAUUAUCCUUUUGUCUCAAUAGUCGAUAGUUGGGUGGAUUUUUGUUUUAACGUGCUGUGCUGCAGGUAAAGAUCUAACUGCCACUAGUAAUAUUUUUAAGGAAAAUGGAGCAAUCUUCUAUUUCAAAUGCAAAAAGAUGCUCGUAAUCACACUUACAAGAAAACCGCAUGUAAGUUGUUUUUUGCUCAAAUAGUGUUUUUAGUCUUUAGAAUUCAUUAAAUAUACUUAUAUAAAUAUUAUAUGUAGAACUUAGUUCUAAAAUCCACAACUCAUAUGGUGUAGAAGAUUUGAUAGAUUGUACAAGUUGUGUUCUGUUAGGUCCAUAGACCUUAUUCUGCGGGAUGGAGACCUUCAAAUUAUUGAUUUGUGUCAUAAAAUAUUAGUGACUGGUGAAUAGACACCACACCACACUUUUUCCAGACGUUACUACUACUUUCUACCAGAAAUGAGAACAACAUAUCCAUUCGUU